AGCGAACGCUGGCGGCAGGCUUAACACAUGCAAGUCGAGCGGGCAUCUUCGGAUGUCAGCGGCAGACGGGUGAGUAACACGUGGGAACGUACCCUUCGGUUCGGAACAACUCUUGGCAACUGGAGCUAAUACCGGAUACGCCCUUAUGGGGCAAGGUUUACUGCCGAUGUUUCGGCCCGCGUCUGAUUAGCUAGUUGGUGGGGUAACGGCCUACCAAGGCGACGAUCAGUAGCUGGUCUGAGAGGAUGAUCCGCCACACUGGGACUGAGACACGGCCCAGACUCCUACGGGAGGAAGCAGUGGGGAGUAUUGGACAACGGGCGCAAGCAUGAUCCAGCCAGGCCGCGUGAGAGAGGAAGGCCUUAGGGUUGGAAAGCUCUUUUGUCCGGGACGAUAAUGACGGUACCGGAAGAAUAAGCCCCGGCUUACUUCGUG
rnacentral:rRNA from 1 species